AAUGCUUCCCAGCUAUUGAACUGCGGCCUGGCCGGUCGCGCUUUUUUCAGGCCACCCUGUUCCUUUGCUUGUCAUCCUCAGUUCCUGGGCUUGGCUAACGCAAUUGUUCCCUAUUCACAGGACGUCUNUUUUGCUCCCUCCCCCUUCUUCCUUAUGCGCGUGUAUGUUUGUGAUCCUGACCUCAUGGACUUUGCUGCAGUGAGGCCGGUUCCAGCCCCUCCACACUUAUGACAAGCCGAGGAAGGAACGCGGCUGGAAGGACACGUCAAGUUAAGCCGACUUCAAGCCCGCUGGAACCCGCCCUGCUUCGUCUGAACUACUUUGUUAAUUAUUGCAGGAACGUUCACUGGGAUGUCCGUGGAAAUGCUCGGGAUCACCUGGCACUGGACGUCUGCGCUCCUCAGAAGAUUGCACCUUUAUGCCAGAGAAAACUGGCACGGGACGGGGAUGAGGGACGGACCUGGCCUUCUAUGCUUCUCCNGCCCAGGAGGAAAAGACAGGCAGACGGAGACAGCCGAGACCGCNAACGCUCCUUGGUCGCCAGUCUGCGCCUCGAAGUUUGUCCCAAUGGGAUUUCUUCCCAGACAGGAGUGCAUCCGACUGUUUUAAACAGCACCUUGUUGCAGUAUUUCAUCCCACAGANUUUCAUACCUCAGGACGAGCACCCAGCCAACCUAUAUACAGCUACAAUCAUAGUCGGGUUAAGUAUGUAUAUAGACGCAUAGUCGUCUUGCCUGACCGUCCAGCCGGAUGCGUCCCUUUCUCAAGAGACUGCGUUUUGCCUUGCGGGUNCGGCUACUUCUGGGAUAAAAUAUUCAGUUACACCCUGCCUCUGUGUCAAGCUGUACUUUCUAUUUUGCCUUUCAGUCUUUUUAAAAAAUCUCAUCAAGAGAAUCUUUUGGUGACCAG
rnacentral:lncRNA from 1 species